rnacentral:rRNA from 1 species
GACGAACGCUGGCGGCGUGCUUAACACAUGCAAGUCGAACGGAAAGGCCCUGCUGUUGUGGGGUGCUCGAGUGGCGAACGGGUGAGUAACAAGUGAGUAACAUGCCCUUGACUUUGGGAUAACUUCAGGAAACUGGGGCUAAUACCGGAUAGGAGCUCCUGCUGCAUGGUGGGGGGUGGAAAGUUUCGGCGGUUGGGGAUGGACUCGCGGCUUAUCAGCUUGUUGGUGGGGUAGUGGCUUACCAAGGCUUUGACGGGUAGCCGGCAUGAGAGGGUGACCGGCCACAUUGGGACUGAGAUACGGCCCAGACUCCUACGGGAGGCAGCAGUGGGGAAUCUUGCACAAUGGGCGGAAGCCUAAUGCAGCAACGCCGCGUGCGGGAUGACGGCCUUCGGGUUGUAAACCGCUUUCGCCUGUGACGAGGCGUGAGUGACGGUAAUGGGUAAAGAAGCACCGGCUAACUACGUG